GACGAACGCUGGCGGCGUGCUUAACACAUGCAAGUCGAACGGAAAGGCCCUGCUUUUGUGGGGUGCUCGAGUGGCGAACGGGUGAGUGACACGUGAGUAACCUGCCCUUGACUUUGGGAUAACUUCAGGAAGCUGGGGCUAAUACCGGAUAGGAGCUCCUGCUGCAUGGUGGGGGUUGGAAAGUUUCGGCGGUUGGGGAUGGACUCGCGGCUUAUCAGCUUGUUGGUGGGGUAGUGGCUUACCAAGGCUUUGACGGGUAGCCGGCCUGAGAGGGUGACCGGCCACAUUGGGACUGAGAUACGGCCCAGACGCCUACGGGAGGCAGCAGUGGGGAAUAUUGCACAAUGGGCGGAAGCCUGAUGCAGCAACGCCGCGUGCGGGAUGACGGCCUUCGGGUUGUAAACCGCUUUCGCCUGUGACGAAGCGUGAGUGACGGUAAUGGGUAAAGAAGCACCGGCUAACUACGUG
rnacentral:rRNA from 1 species